rfam:Methanospirillum hungatei JF-1, complete genome.
GCCCAGAUAGUGUAGUGGCCUAUCAUGUCGGCCUGUCACGCCGACGACUCGGAUUCGAAUUCCGAUCUGGGCG